rnacentral:rRNA from 1 species
CACACCGCCCGUCACGCCAUAGAAGUGGCGAGUGCCCGAAGUCCGUGUCGGAACCCGCAAGGGACCAAGCGGCCAAAGGCAAGCGUCAUGACUGGGGCG